AGUCAGCAGAAAGUCCCCCAGGAAGUGAUCUUGAUGAGGCAACAACCUACGACCAAGAAAUGGCUUCCCUGUUGUUGCUGUUACAUCUCCUUCCACCACCUCCAGGGGGACUGAAGUCUCCAAAAAUUAGUGCAUGUGAUGCAGUUGAGAGACUUGUUGUCUUUCAUAAGUUUUCUCAUCUCAACCC